AUUGAACGCUGGCGGCAUGCUUUACACAUGCAAGUCGAACGGUAACAGGUUAAGCUGACGAGUGGCGAACGGGUGAGUAAUGCAUCGGAACGUGCCCGAUCGUGGGGGAUAACGCAGCGAAAGCUGCGCUAAUACCGCAUACGAUCUGAGGAUGAAAGCGGGGGACCGUAAGGCCUCGCGCGAACGGAGCGGCCGAUGGCAGAUUAGGUAGUUGGUGGGGUAAAGGCUCACCAAGCCAACGAUCUGUAGCUGGUCUGAGAGGACGACCAGCCACACUGGGACUGAGACACGGCCCAGACUCCUACGGGAGGCAGCAGUGGGGAAUUUUGGACAAUGGGCGAAAGCCUGAUCCAGCAAUGCCGCGUGCAGGAAGAAGGCCUUCGGGUUGUAAACUGCUUUUGUACGGAGCGAAAAGGCUCUCUCUAAUACAGGGGGCUCAUGACGGUACCGUAAGAAUAAGCACCGGCUAACUACGUGCCAGCCGCCGCAGUAA
rnacentral:rRNA from 1 species